GCAGUUCAAAGCUUUUUGACAUUUAACCUCUGAUCUUAUGUUGGAAAGAUCCAUUGUUUACCAGCAAAACAAUAUUGAAGACAACAUUGAUAAAUACGCCACAGAGAAAUAUCAUGGGAAAGUUUUAAAACACAUUCAUAUAUCUGUACUCUCAAUCUCUCUGUUUUUCCUCAUCUUUUCAUAGAAAACAUGGCUCUACUUACACACACCUAAAUAAUCACACCUUUCAUCCGUGAUUAUUUUUUUCUAAAGCUUUUAUAAUGAUACUAAAUGCUGUAUGAUGUGGGCUUGUAAUCAAAGUGAAUUGUGCAGAGAAUCUAGGCCAAAUGAGGCAGAUUUUGUUUAUAUUAGGCAGUGAGUAAUGUGUAAGGAACAAAAUGAUGCCACAUCAUUUGAUGAAAAUGAAAGCAAGACUUAAAAGACGAACAUCAAGAAAACAACAGAAAUCAUUAUGAAAAAAAAAAAUCAUAGAAAAUGAAAAUGACUUUUUAUGGCCUCCAAAUGUUUGAGUGUUUACCUGACAAAUCUUACAUCCUGGGUAAUCUCCUCCCAGUUCUGGAGCAGGGUGUCACUGAGUUCAUGGACAGUCUUAGAUGCAACCUGAGCUAACCUCAACAUUUUGGAUUCUUUAUUCUCCAAGAAUCAUCUUUCACUCCAUGAGACCAUGCAGCGCUGUUCUGCAGGAGGAACCUUGGUCCGUCAGCACCAGUGUAGUCUGACAAUAGGUCCAAAUGGUUCAUCAUAAAAGUUAGUAUAUCAUUACCUGACCUGUAGAGAUCUCCUUGCAAUACCCUCUCCAAAUACUCCCAGCUGCUGAGAGUCUAAAAAAAAACAAGAAAAUGUGACUUAAAAAUUCAGCAGCUGGCAAGUGACCAUGGAUGGAGUUACUCCAGCAGCCUACCCUAAACAUCUCUCCAAAAUGUGCUGUGGCUAAUGGAUUAAGGAUUUUAAGUCCCCUCUGGAGCUUCUUCACAUCAUCCACAUGUUCUGUAUGUGGAUCCCCUUUAUACUAACCUCCACAAUCAACGCAGAGACUCUUUCUACAUCAAAGGAAGCUUCCAGCGAGGCAAACAGGAAAGACUGAACAUCAGAUACCCACAGUCAAGGGAUCAGAGAGCCUUUUCCAGCAGAGAGAUUUCAUGAACUCAGUUAAGAGUUUUAUCAGAGUGUUGCUCUGUCGGUCUGCAGCAUUAUGGAAUUCCUCUUCUCCUCCUCUGUGCAACCUUAAUGCAGGUGGAUAGAAAGCUGUUGGUGCUCUUCACACCUGAUUGCACCUUGAAGGCCUACCUAGAGCUAGAUGGAAGCAAGCUGAAGACAAAAUUCGAUCUCAUUACAGCAAAGAAGAGCUCCUUUUUGAAGUUGUGGAACCAUUCCAGCUGCUAAUGGAGAACAAACUGGAAGAGCUCCUUUCAGAAUCACAUGUUCUUUUAAAAAAGCAUCCUCACCACCUCCAUGGCCACACCAGAAGGAGAGAGGAGCUUCUCAACCUGGAAUAGAGUGAAAAUCCUUUGUUAGAAGCACCAAGGCGGAGUGCAGGCUGAAUGCAAGGCCAUGCUAAAAAAUAAAAGAAAUGAGAGCAAAAGUUUUGUUGACAAAGUUUGUUCUAGUAUUAGAAUUUCUGAACUCUCCUGCCCCCAUCAACAAAAUUUUACAAAUAUCACCAGCAACUAUUUGGUCAAACACACAGGUGCCUACUGGAGGUCAUUUUGCUUUCUUUUUUUUUUUUAUCAACUGUCUCAUGGGAUAUCCUCCGUACUCAGGAAACUAUGCAUAGAAACACAGCAAAUCUGUAACGUUUGGACUAACUGUAACCUUUGUGGAGUUGACCAAAGUCACUCUAUUCAUGGAAAAAUGCAGAAGUAGUGAAAAAAACAGAUGAGGGACAAAAAUGUCUUUGAUCUCUAACUGUAAAACUUUUCCUAUUAAGAGGGGUGGUGUCCUUGUUACUUACUUUAAAUGUUGUGAGUAUUUAUCAAACUAAAGUUACUGAAACUAAUUAACAACCACCUCUAUUUAGCAGAAAAGAUCAAUAUACUGGGUGCUGAACUGACCUUGGGCUAUAACCUAGAUAAAAUAUGUUCCUUUAUUUACUUAUUUAUUUUUUUCAGUUUGGCUGUUUAAAACGCUCUCUUCU